UACGUAGGGACCGAGCGUUAUCCGGAUUCAUUGGGCGUAAAGAGCUCGUAGGCGGCUAUUCAAGUCGAACGUGAAAUCUCGGAGCUCAACUCCGAGCCUGCGUUCGAUACUGGGUAGCUAGAGUCUGGUAGGGGGAUCUGGAAUUCCUGGUGUAGCGGUGGAAUGCGCAGAUAUCAGGAGGAACACCGGAGGCGAAGGCGGCUCACUGGGGGUUAUCUGACGCUGAGGAACGAAAGCCAGGGGAGCAAACGGG
rnacentral:rRNA from 1 species